AGUCCUACGGGAGGCAGCAGUGGGGGAUAUUGGACAAUGGGGGGAACCCUGAUCCAGCGACGCCGCGUGAGUGAAGAAGUAUUUCGGUAUGUAAAGCUCUGUCAGCAGGGAAGAAAGCAAUGACGGUACCUGACCAAGAAGCCCCGGCUAACUACGUGCCAGCAGCCGCGGUAAUACGUAGGGGGCAAGCGUUAUCCGGAUUUACUGGGUGUAAAGGGAGCGUAGACGGCUGUGCAAGUCUGAUGUGAAAGGCUGGGGCUCAACCCCAGGACUGCAUUGGAAACUGUUAGGCUAGAGUGUCGGAG
rnacentral:rRNA from 1 species